CCUACGGGUGGCAGCAGUGGGGAAUAUUGGACAAUGGGGGGAACCCUGAUCCAGCCAUGCCGCGUGUGUGAAGAAGGCCCUCGGGUUGUAAAGCACUUUCAGUGAGGAAGAACGCCUGGUGGUUAAUACCCAUCAGGAAAGACAUCACUCACAGAAGAAGCACCGGCUAACUCCGUGCCGGCAGCCGCGGUAAUACGGAGGGUGCGAGCGUUAAUCGGAAUUACUGGGCGUAAAGCGCGCGUAGGUGGCUUGAUAAGCCGGUUGUGAAAGCCCCGGGCUCAACCUGGGAACGGCAUCCGGAACUGUCAAGCUAGAGUGCAGGAGAGGAAGGUAGAAUUCCCGGUGUAGCGGUGAAAUGCGUAGAGAUCGGGAGGAAUACCAGUGGCGAAGGCGGCCUUCUGGACUGACACUGACACUGAGGUGCGAAAGCGUGGGUAGCAAACAGGAUUAGAUACCCCGGUAGUC
rnacentral:rRNA from 1 species